UAGGCUGGUGCAAAAGUAAUUGUGGUUUUUGCAAUUUAAAACUAAUGGUAAAAACCACAAUUACU
rnacentral:miRNA from 1 species